GUGGGGAAUCUUGCACAAUGGGGGCAACCCUGAUGCAGCGACGCCGCGUGAGCGAUGAAGCCCUUCGGGGCGUAAAGCUCUUUCGACCGGAACGAUAAUGACGGUACCGGGAGAAGAAGCUGCGGCUAACUACGUGCCAGCAGCCGCGGUAAUACGUAGGCAGCAAGCGUUGUUCGGAGUUACUGGGCGUAAAGAGUGCGUAGGCGGUUUUCUAAGUUCGGUGUGAAAUCUCCCGGCUUAACUGGGAGGGUGCGCCGAAGACUGGGAAGCUGGAGUGUGGGAAAGGCAGGCGGAAUUCCUGGUGUAGCGGUGAAAUGCGUAGAUAUCAGAAGGAACACCGGCGGUGUAGACGGCUUGCUAAACCAUAACUGACGCUGAGGCACGAAAGCGUGGGUAGCAAACA
rnacentral:rRNA from 1 species